UUUUGAAAGCUCUAGUGUUUGAAAUUUUGUGCAAAUUUUGAUGAAAACUUGGUUAGGGUUUUUUAUUUUGGUUUUUUUUCCCUAUUUAACUGUUUAAUUUUGCAAAAAGUUUACGAAUUUAAGUUCGAUUUUUGUUUCUAGGAUUUUAAAUUUGGGAGUUUCCAAAUUAGGGUUAAAAUUUGGGGGUAUUUCUCCGUCUAUUGAAUUCUGCUGUCAUUAGGUUAAAUUCUCCUUUUAUAUUAAUCAGUUAUAGCUUUUGUGAUUGUAUUAUUCUGGUAGUGCCAUCAUGUUCUACAUUGUGGAUAUUGUGAUUUUGUUAUUCAUGUUGUUCAUAUUGAAUAGAAUUGUUCUUUUAUCCAAUGUAAUCAAAUAUAUUUCCUUGUUCUAAUUAUUGGUUGUUUUGUGUUUAGGUUACAUAAGAUUUCUUGUUUGUGGUAAUGGAAUUGAUUGAUAUGAUCAAUUGUGGGUUGUAUUAAUUUUUGUUUUUCUGUCCUAAACAUGGUGCAUACUUGAAUGUUUGUUUCCUUAUUGCUACUGCACCUAAAUCAUGAACAUUGUGCAUACUACAAUGUUUUAAUUUUGUUGUUUUUGUUGCAUUGUGGUUCUUAUUUGAUUGGUUGGAAAUGUAUUUCUUGGUGCUUGUUGUUUUUUGUCUUCUGUCUUCUAUGAGUCUUGUUGGUUUACUUAAUAUAUUCGAUUAUUCUUUAUCGAAUGUUUGAAUUAUCACGAGGGUAAUGUAUUCCAUGUAUACAUGUGUAGAUAAUGCCUAAAAAAUUUGCGGGUCACCUAGUAAAUGGUUGGUGAUAAUAAUGGAGAUGAUAACUAUACCCCACAAGACCUCAACUGUCCUGUGAAUGGAUCACCACCUGGCUAGUUGGUUCUUUAUUUUAUACAUUCAAAUUUUCUGUAGUACAAAUGGUUUCGUGAAAUGAUGGCAUUGUUAUUGUAGAGAACAUAAAAGAAGAAGAAGAUGAUGAUGUGAACCUAGAAGGGUUAGAUACCCAAAUUCCUUCCAACACACCAAUUGGAUUAACACCACUUGCAUCAACUGAAGUUCUAGGAGAAAGUUCAGCAACUGGAGGGGAUGCUCGCAAAAGGAAAGGUAGUGAUGCACCUAUUUUACCAAAGCGUAAUAAGCUGAAAUUUGGAUUGAUAGAUAUACCUGAACCAGCAUCCUUCAAGGGGUUGACUGCAGCUUUGCAGAGUAUAGCCCAAAGUCUGGAAAAACCCAAGAUUGCAGAUCUGUCAACUGCACUUCAAGAGAUGACAAAUGGGGACAGAGAUAUGUAUCUGAGAGCAAUGGACUUUCUAGGAGACAACCCUAGUUUGAUGGCAAUGUUUGUGGGUAUAGAGAAGGAAUACAAGAUGGAAUGGCUUUUGAGAAAGCUUAAUGCCCAUAGGUAGUGAAGGGUGAUCUUGGUGUUUCUAUUUUUUUUAGGCUGCGGAAGUAUUCCUUUUUGUAUGUUGCAGAAGUGUGUUUUAACCUUGUUAUAAUCAUGUACUAGUUUGAUUGUGAACUUAUUUUCAUCACAACCUUUUGAACUUGGUUUGAAUAUAAAUAGUUUGAUUUUGAACUAUUUUAUGAUGUCGCAGCCUUUCAAAUCUCAUUUGAUUUUAUAUAUUCCAUGUUAUGUAAAUUGUGUUUAGAUUAGGGUUUUCUUGACAGAAAGGUUACUGUGAGUCUGAGAUACGAAAGGGAGAAAUGAGAUGGAGAAAUGAGACCUAUAGCUAACGAAGACAAGCUCAAUCAGAUUCAUGUAAAUGACAGAGCAGUUCCUGGUGAACUUUUAACUUUUUUCCUCACAAGUUACUACGGGUUCUUUAAAUAGCCUAACUUGAAGACAACCUUUGAUUAAGCCACAUUACCAUAACAUACAGUUGUUGUUUUUGUACCCUUAGCCAUUUCUCCCUAACAAGGACACAAAAGUUCCAUCUAUAAAGCCAUUGGUAUGGUCAGCUCCGCAGUUUUGAUUUUGUAUGGCCGUAUCAUUGAAACCUAUGAAUGGAUUAGGACUUGUAUGUAUGUAUGCUGGUACAUUCCAACUUUUAUGAUGGUUUACUCGAACUUUUUAACGAAACCUUGUUUGUUUGUUUAUUUAUUUAUUUAUUUUUAUUUUUUAUGAAAAUCAAACCUUGUUCAAUUUUGUAUUUCACACAAACUUUUUUGCACACUUUUUUUUAAGGAACACUAGCAGAUUAUUCUGAAAGUUGUUGAGGUUCAUCAUUGAAAGAUGAAUAUACUUCGUUGUAAUUUUUUUUCUCAUUAUUUCUUAUUUAUUUUGGCUAAUUAUAAUUUGGUAUGCUUACCGCUUACGGACCUUUAAUUUGGUCGUGUAUUGGGCCACAAAUCGGGUCGAUGGCAUAUGUCCAUUGGAUUGAUUGUAGGAAAAGAUCCAAAGUCCAUAAAGAAUCAUAAGUGCAAGCCCAUAGCCCAUCAGUUUAAGUCAAUUUACCCGACUGAAAAGAGUUAUCAAACGCAGGUAAAAUUGGCAAAACCAUUUUCCUACAUUUACCAAACACAUUAACAAACAGCGGCAAAUGGUUUUUCCAAAAAAUUUCUCGGAACACGAAUUUGCCAAAUCCACUAGUUUUGCCGCUUUGCCUAUUUUCUCGGGACCUAGUGGAAAGUUAUCAAACAGACCCUAAGCUGAGUAUUGCAUAUACAGUACAAUAUUAGAACAAGUAACUUUUCAACAUUAGAAUACAUAUCUGACAGUUUCUUCCUUUUCAAUUUUUUUUUCUUCAUGCAAAUUGUAGUGUCUUAAUUAAUGUAUUUAUGAUUAAAAAUGACAUACUAUCGUAAGGCUGCCCAUCGUGCGCUCAACUAAAAAUCCCUAAGCUAGCUUCCUCUCUUUGGAUAAAACUGGCUGUAAAUUUUCUCCCAAUUGUUAUACUAGCAAAUCUAGUCCCUUACCGCUAUGAAGUGAUAUUGUCUUCCUACACAUGGCAGAGCUGAGAAGAGAAGAGGGUGAGGAAAUUACUCAUCCUGCUGGACUAGCUGCAAUAUUGGGAAGACUCUGUCAAGAGAUAUUUUAGUCCCUUCUAUUUCUUCAUUGCACUCGAGUUCUUGAAAUCUGCUCAAGCCAAGGAAUGAAAUUUUUGUGAAGUACACUCACUCGAGGAUUGAUUCAUAUCUUCACAGAAGAUCAAGCACCCUACGCAAUAUUUUCGGUAAUUUAAAAGACAAGGAGCAGCAUGGUUCCUUCUUGUAGCUUUUUGAGAGAUUGCAAAGUGCAUUAUAUAUUUACAGCAAAAUGUAUUCAUUUGCAUUUGAACUCAAAAUUUAGUUGAAGGGUUGUUUUUGUCUGUAUAUUUUCUUGUUUUCCAGAGAAUAGAGGACUAGUAUAUAGGUAUUGUCUGCAGGGAGCCUGAAUUAAGAAAUUCGAAUCAAAAUUUUUCUGGUGGCAUUGCUAAUGAGAAAAUGAUUUUACUGGUGUGGAGAGUGUCAUGGUGGUGAGCCAUUAUAACAAAACUAUAAAUUAUUCUUCAUAAUCUUCAUUACAAUCCAGGAGCUAUUCAGCUAUAUAAUCUUACUAAACUGUCUUUCAAUUUCAAUGAAUUGUUGUCUUUCAGUUUUUUGUGCUAUAGAUAGAGCAGUGUUAAGAUACUAUUUUUGUGAUUUUCCUUGGUGGCAAUAAGUACAUAAACUCUUUCCUUCCACAAAUGAAUUAAAUAAAAUAUUGAUGUUUUUUUUUUGCACUUCAAUCAAAAGAACUGUAAAAUAUAAAUGUAAAUAGCGCAGUGUUAAGGUUUCAGUUAUCUUUUGCAUCUGUAAAUGACUGUGAUAAUCUUUUGUGGUGGACUUAUCACUUAUGUAUAGAGUUUUCUAAAACCAUCACAAAUGCAGAAGCCAUGAUAAGGACCCUCUUGAAACACAUAGAAUUAAGCUGGACUGCUGGAGUGCAAUUUGUUGUUCCUAGGCCUAGGAAAUGAAGUAAUGAACUUGGAUUUGUACAGUGACUACAUUCUAACAACUUUCUUAAAAUGUUGGAAAAUGAUCGAACUUUAGACUUUUAAUUACAUUACAUUCAACAACUUUAUGAGAACUGAGAAGGGUAUAUUGUUAUUAUAAGAAUUUUGCCAAGAUUUUUUUUUUUUUUUUUGAUAAAUAAAAUUUUAUUAAUAAAAGAAAGAAAGAAAAUGUGAUGAAUAGCAAUGUGAUGACGGCGGGUUCCAAUGAAUAUGUAUUUCGUAGGAUUGGUUUUGCUAUUAAAAAGGGCUUGCAGUGCAGUUUGUAGCGCGCUUGUCCUCUAGCUUUGUGUAAUUCUUCUUUUAUAAAUAAAAUUAUUUUAAAAAAAAAAUGGAUUACAAAACCCGAUCAAUCGGCAUAUUAGAUGUGACACUAGAUCAACAAGCUAAAAGCUACAAGCCUUAAUAUGAGGCAAACAAACACAAAAAAAAAAAACAAACUCUUUUUAAGAAAACCUAUAGCUAACUCAGCCAGGUUUAUUAGACCACCAACUCUUUAAAGAGUUUUUGUUGCCCUUCUGUACUCAUACCCGUCAAGCUCAUUUCCUUAGCUGAAGGAACCACAAGAUAAUCCACAAAAUUUUCAUGAUCCACCUCGGAAUCACCUCCUAUCAAGCUACUAGCAAUUACCUACAUUUUAGCAGAGUGUUGUUGUUGCUGCUCCGAUCAAACUCUCGAAACCAGGGGGUAAUCCCUUUCUAGAGAAGGUUGACUAUGAUUUUCUAUUUUCUUCAUCUUCUUCGUUUUAUUUUUCAUUAGUUUUCUACAGUUACAUCCCCAAUUGCAAUCUUAUCUGAUAUUUCACCUUCUUCUACCGCCUCUUAAUUUAUAAAUUCCAUAGACUCUAGAACAAAUAAAAUCUGCCUCAACAUCUCUCUUACGUGAUGAAGUGUCUGCAAUUCCCUCUUUAGGACAAGGUGUUGCUGUUUGGAAGGAGAAAUGAUGUGUUUUUUCAUCUUGAAUGGCCUUGAAAUGGUUACUAAGUGGCAAGAUAACCAUGUUAAAGGUGGUCUUUUGCAACUCAAAGUUCAAACAAAGUGUGUGAAGUAUUCUUUUGUUGUGAACGAAUAAGUGAUGCACUUAUAUUCAUGCAAAUCAAGCAACCAUCUCUAAUGCAUUGAGCAAUGAAAGUCUAGGGAGAAUCUUAAGGAAAAAUCAGAGAGUCCGCCAUUAAAACUUCAGGAGAGAAAAAUCAGAGAGAGUGUGAAUCCCCAGCCACCGGCAUUGUCUCUGAUGACCGGUGGCUGGUUCGUUUUUUCCUUUCUUUUCUCUUUCUAAUAUUUGUUUGUGUUUUGUGUUUUUAGAUCUUGAAUAUCUUCUUCAGAUCCAUGUUUCUCUUUUUCUCAAUUGAAGAUGGGUGUUUUCUUUUCUCCUUUUUUCUUCAAUUAAGAACAACUUUCAAGUCAUCAUCUAAUGCAUAGUUUGUUCUCCAGAUCUGGAAUGUUUUCAGAUCCAUGUUUUUCAUUUUUUUUGGUUGAAGAUGUGUUUACUCUUAAUACCUUUUACUCUUCAAUUGAGAAAAACUCUCAUCUUUCAUCGUCAUCCAUGGUUUGUUCUUCUCGAUCUGGAUUAAUUUUCAGAUUCAUGUUUUUUAAUUUUUUCAAUUGAAGAAUUGUUUAUCUUGCAUCAUUUAUCUCUUCAAUUGAAAAAAGUUUUCAUCUUUCACCAUUAUUAUGGUUUUCUUAGAGUUUUUGUUUCAGACCUGAUUGAUUUUUUGUCUCGAUUUCAACUUUGAUCAUGGUGGUACUCUUUUUUGCUUCAAUAAGGGAUUUUGAAGCGGUGUUUAGCGUGGUACUUCUCUUGAUCAUGAUGUUGUCUUUGGCUCAUUAUAUCAACCAUGGUUUGGAGGAUUUUUUUUGAGAAAUCUUUGUGUUGGGUCUCUUCUUCACCUUUCAGUCCCUCUCUGGUGCAUCAAAGUUAUUUCUUGGUUUAACCUCUCAUUUCUUUUCGGCUGCAUUUUCAUCCUUGAUCAUGUUGGUGUCACACAAGUCUUUGGGGGAUGGAGACGUAAGUGCACUGCAACAUAAAGCAUUUUCUCACAUCUGGUCUAAGAUUGUUUAUGCGUGUUUGGGCGGCUUGGUUUGGUUGAGCUUAGUUUUAACUUUUUGUUCUUUAGUUGGGUUGGAAUUUGUUGUUGAGUGGGUUUUUAGCUAAUCCUUUUCAAGGAUAAGCCUUGUUUAUAUAAUCCCUUCAACAAAUAUUCUCUUGGGGAUCUUGUAUUUAUUCUUGGUUUUAUUUAUAUAAAAUCAAAAAAUUUAACAAAAAAAAAAUAAAAAAAUAAAAAAUCAAGCAACCAUCUUUAGUCGUGAACUUCCACCAAUAUACAGCAUGUAUGUGAAAUUAAACAAUUAUAAUUCUUUAAUACUGUACCUAUUAUUGAUGAAAUAAAGUGAUCUGUAUUUUGAACAUUAUUCCUAUAAUACAUCACUUAGUAACUUUAUAAGGUUGUGAAUUGCUCAAUUGGAUAUUUCUUGUAUCCACUGGAUAACCAAACUGUAAAUUUUCCCUGAAGUUUGAUCAUGUGUACUGAUAAAUCUAGUUCAUAUGGUUGUCCACCCUGUUUGCUUCCUGCACAUGUUCGAGAAGUUUGCUCACUGUCCACAUGUUCG
rnacentral:lncRNA from 1 species